AGCGAACGCUGGCGGCAGGCCUAACACAUGCAAGUCGAACGAACCUUUCGGGGUUAGUGGCGGACGGGUGAGUAACACGUGGGAACGUGCCUUUAGGUUCGGAAUAACUCAGGGAAACUUGUGCUAAUACCGAAUGUGCCCUUCGGGGGAAAGAUUAAUCGCCUUUAGAGCGGCCCGCGUCUGAUUAGCUAGUUGGUUGAGGUAAUGGCUCACCAAGGCGACGAUCAGUAGCUGGUCUGAGAGGAUGAUCAGCCACAUUGGGACUGAGACACGGCCCAAACUCCUACGGGAGGCAGCAGUGGGGAAUCUUGCGCAAUGGGCGAAAGCCUGACGCAGCCAUGCCUCGUGAAUGAUGAAGGUCUUAGGAUUGUAAAAUUCUUUCACCGGGGACGAUAAUGACGGUACCCGGAGAAGAAGCCCCGGCUAACUUCGUG
rnacentral:rRNA from 1 species